GACGAACCGAGCGAACGUUAUUCGGAAUCACUGGGCUUAAAGGGCGCGUAGGCGGGCGGUCAAGUCCGGGGUGAAAGCCCCCAGCUCAACUGGGGAAGUGCCUCGGAUACUGGUCGCCUCGAGGGAGAUAGGGGCGUGCGGAACUUCCGGUGGAGCGGUGAAAUGCGUAGAUAUCGGAAGGAACACCGGUGGCGAAAGCGGCGCGCUGGAUCUCUUCUGACGCUGAGGCGCGAAAGCCAGGGGAGCGAACGGG
rnacentral:rRNA from 1 species